rnacentral:misc_RNA from 1 species
UGGUUCUGGCAUCGAUGAAGAACGCAGCGAAAUGCGAUAAGUAAUGUGAAUUGCAGAAUUCAGUGAAUCAUCGAAUCUUUGAACGCACAUUGCGCCCUUUGGUAUUCCGAGGGGCAUGCCUGUUCGAGCGUCAUUUCGACCCUCAAGCUUCGGCUUGGUAUUGGGCUCUCGUCCGCCACACUGGACGUGCCUGAAACCCAUAGGCGGUUGUGCCCAGCUCCUUAGCGUAGUCAUUUCUUACCGCUCUGGAGGACUGGGCGUGGCCCGCCCGAGAACCCCCCCCCACAACUUCUCAAGUUUUGACCUCGGAUCAGGUAGGGAUACCCGCUGA